rnacentral:rRNA from 1 species
GACAGAGGGUGCAAACGUUGUUCGGAAUUACUGGGCGUAAAGAGUGUGUAGGCGGUGCUCUAAGUUCGGUGUGAAAUCUCCUGGCUCAACUGGGAGGGUGCGCCGGAAACUGGAGUGCUUGAGCGUGGGAGAGGAAAGCGGAAUUCCUGGUGUAGCGGUGAAAUGCGUAGAUAUCAGGAGGAACACCUGUGGUGUAGACGGCUUUCUGGACCAUAGCUGACGCUGAGACACGAAAGCGUGGGUAGCGAACAGG